GAUGAAGAACGUAGCGAAAUGCGAUAAGUAAUGUGAAUUGCAGAAUUCCGUGAAUCAUCGAAUCUUUGAACGCACAUUGCGCCCGCCAGUAUUCUGGCGGGCAUGCCUGUUCGAGCGUCAUUUCAACCAUCAAGCCCCCGGCUUGUGUUGGGGACCUGCGGCUGCCGCAGGCCCUGAAAACCAGUGGCGGGCUCGCUAGUCACUCCGAGCGUAGUAGUUACAUCUCGCUCAGGGCGUGCUGCGGGUUCCGGCCGUUAAAAGCCUUAUUUACCCAAGGUUGACCUCGGAUCAGGUAGGAAGACCCGCUGAACUUAAGCAUAUCAAUAAGCGGAGGA
rnacentral:misc_RNA from 1 species